AGCUUGCUUUUUUCAACUCAUUGGCGGACGGGUGAGUAACGCGUGAGUAACCUGCCUUUCAGAGGGGGAUAACGUUCUGAAAAGAACGCUAAUACCGCAUAAGAUUGUAGUUUCGCAUGGGACAGCAAUCAAAGGAGCAAUCCGCUGAAAGAUGGACUCGCGUCCGAUUAGAUAGUUGGCGGGGUAACGGCCCACCAAGUCGACGAUCGGUAGCCGGACUGAGAGGUUGAUCGGCCACAUUGGGACUGAGACACGGCCCAGACUCCUACGGGAGGCAGCAGUGAGGGAUAUUGGGCAAUGGGGGAAACCCUGACCCAGCAACGCCGCGUGAGGGAUGACGGUUUUCGGAUUGUAAACCUCUGUCCUCUGUGAAGAUAGUGACGGUAGCAGAGGAGGAAGCUCCGGCUAACUACGUGCCAGCAGCCGCGGUAAUACGUAGGGAGCAAGCGUUGUCCGGAUUUACUGGGUGUAAAGGGUGCGUAGGCGGAUUGGCAAGUCAGAAGUGAAAUCCAUGGGCUUAACCCAUGAACUGCUUUUGAAACUGUUAGUCUUGAGUGAAGUAGAGGUAGGCGGAAUUCCCGGUGUAGCGGUGAAAUGCGUAGAGAUCGGGAGGAACACCAGUGGCGAAGGCGGCCUACUGGGCUUUAACUGACGCUGAGGCACGAAAGUGUGGGUAGCAAACAGGAUUAGAUACCCUGGUAGUCCGCACUGUAAACGAUGAUUACUAGGUGUGGGGGGUCUAACCCCCUCCGUGCCGGAGUUAACACAAUAAGUAAUCCACCUGGGGAGUACGACCGCAAGGUUGAAACUCAAAGGAAUUGACGGGGGCCCGCACAAGCAGUGGAGUAUGUGGUUUAAUUUC
rnacentral:rRNA from 1 species